AUUGAACGCUGGCGGCAGGCCUAACACAUGCAAGUCGAACGAGUGGCGGACGGGUGAGUAAUGUCUGUGACACUUCCUGAUGGAGUGGGAUCACUACUGGAAACUGUAGCUACUACCGCAUACCAUCUGCUUUGCCCAGAUGGUAUUAGCUAGUCGGUGGGGUAAAGGCUCACCUAGGCGACGAUCCCUAGCUGGUCUGAGAGGAUGACCAGCCACACUGGAACUGAGACACGGUCCAGAAUCCUACGGGAGGCAGCAGUGGGGAAUAUUGCACAAUGGGCGCAAGCCUGAUGCAGCCAUGCCGCGUGUAUGAAGAAGGCCUUCGGGUUGUAAAGUACUUUAAGCGGGGAGGCGUGACUCGCAGAAGAAGCACCGGCUAACUCCGUGCCAGCAGCCGCGGUAAUAC
rnacentral:rRNA from 1 species